rnacentral:rRNA from 1 species
AGUGAACGCUGGCGGCGUGCUUAACACAUGCAAGUCGAACGAGAACGGAUUAUAGCUUGCUAUAAUUGUCAGCUAAGUGGCGCACGGGUGAGUAAUGUAUAGGUAAUAUGCCUCUUACUAAGGGAUAACAAAUGGAAACGUUUGCUAUACCUUAUACUCCUUAUUAACAUAGGUUAAUAAGGGAAAGAUUUAUUGGUAAGAGAUUAGCCUGUAUUGUAUCAGUUAGUUGGUGGGGUAAUGGCUUACCAAGACUAUGACACAUAACUGGUUUGAGAGGAUGAUCAGUCACACUGGAACUGAGACACGGUCCAGACUCCUACGGGAGGCAGCAGUGGGGAAUAUUGCACAAUGGACGAAAGUCUGAUGCAGCAACGCCGCGUGGAGGAUGACACAUUUCGGUGCGCAAACUCCUUUUAUAUGAGAAGAUAAUGACGGUAUUAUAUGAAUAAGCACCGGCUAACUCCGUGCCAGCCGCCGCCGUAA